rnacentral:tRNA from 1 species
AAUGUGGCUCAGUGGUAGAGUGCUUGCCUAGCAUGCAUGAGGGCCCUGGGUUCGAUCCCUUGGUACAUUA